rnacentral:tRNA from 1 species
GGGCCUGUAGCUCAGUUGGAAGAGCGCCUCGGUCGCAUCGAGGAGGUCGCCGGUUCGAGUCCGGUCAGGUCCA